GGUAAAAUGAUCCAAGGAAAAUGUCUCAGAAUAGUCUCCCCUGAGUCUCCUGUUAAGUUUCAUCUCUGUUCUGUAGUGACCAUGGUUCUCACUGUAGCUGUAGUUGCUAAUUUCCUAAAAAGAGGCAAGGGGGCUUCUGACCACUGGAACAGCUUGCACAGAGAGUCAUCAGAGCAACCUUAGAUGUAGAGAGACAACACUGAGUAUAAUCACUUG
rnacentral:lncRNA from 1 species